rnacentral:rRNA from 1 species
UACGGAGGGUGCGAGCGUUGUCCGGAAUCAUUGGGCGUAAAGGGCGCGUAGGUGGCCCGGUCAGUUCGUGGUGAAAGCGCGGGGCUCAACCCUGCGUCGGCCAUGAAUACUGCCGCGGCUGGAGCACUGUAGAGGCAGGCGGAAUUCCGGGUGUAGCGGUGGAAUGCGUAGAGAUCCGGAAGAACACCGGUGGCGAAGGCGGCCUGCUGGGCAGUUGCUGACACUGAGGUGCGAAAGCGUGGGGAGCAAACAGG